UACGUAGGGUGCGAGCGUUGUCCGGAAUUAUUGGGCGUAAAGAGCUCGUAGGCGGUGUGUCACGUCGGCCGUGAAAACCUGCAGCUUAACUGUGGGCGUGCGGUCGAUACGGGCAUCACUGGAGUUCGGCAGGGGAGACUGGAAUUCCUGGUGUAGCGGUGAAAUGCGCAGAUAUCAGGAGGAACACCGGUGGCGAAGGCGGGUCUCUGGGCCGAUACUGACGAUGAGGAGCGAAAGCGUGAGGAGCAAACAGG
rnacentral:rRNA from 1 species